AUAGGUCUAACUUCUCUGAUACAUACUCAACAAAUCAUCUUUUACCUAUAACAAUAAAAGAGAUUAUUUACUAUAACAAAGAAAUUGUUUCAUACUUAUUAAAACACAAAAAAUUGUUUCAAACUUCUAAAUUUGUCAUUGUUCCGUCAAUCAAACUUAGUAAAUUUGUCAUCAUUCAUAAUCAAGAAGAUAAUGAAAUGAUAAAACUUCUAUUGUUUAUAACUUAAGUAGAAUGUAUAUUUAAUCUAAAUAACUAUAACUCAAAUUGAUGGGAUGAGGCUUCUAUUUCUUUGCAAGAAGAUGAUGAACAAAUCGGCGAGAAGGAUACAGGAAAAAUAGAAGAAAACCCAGCAAAGAAACAGAAAAACAUAAACCAAACCUAAAAUUGAGAACCCAAAAAUUGAAACUGAGCUGCCUCUUUCAUAGAGCUUGCAAAAAACAACACAGAAAACCAGCUAGAGAGAUUAAUAUUCACAAAUUGAGAAAGAUGAAAUCUAGAAGAUGAAUUUCGAGAUACAUCACCAUCCACCAUAACCACCACACAUCACCACCACCUCCGAUCUUCAACCAUCCUCACCAAGAAAAAAAAAGCAAAUAAAUGUAUAGAAAGUAAGAUCGAACCAGAGGAAAGAAGUUCCGUCACUGCCGUCGCCAAACACCGCCGUGUUACCGCGAAACACCACCGGAACUCUCUCUUCCAUGGCCGGAACUCUCUGCCUCCCGCCGGAAAAUCUCUCACUCGGCCACUCCCUCACAGGUGGUGGUGGUUGUGAUUGUGAAGGACGAGAUGGAGGGUGAGAAUGUUGAGGGUAUGGGAUUGGGGAAUUGGUGGAAUUCUUUGUUAUCAGAUAGGAUGAAAUCUGUGGGCUGAACCAAAUCUGUGUCUUCAUUCACUUAGUUUACUUGCUGUCAUCUUGUGUUUAGUGGAGCUUUCCAAUUGGUGCAAGGAGAGGUCCAACAGGAUUGAUGCAGGCUGAAUCAUUGCAACCAUAUAGAAGUUUCUAGUUGCCAGCAUGUGGUUUUAUAAGCAUAUAAUAAGUGUCAAUUAAUUAUUGGAUAGAAUAUUAGGGUUACCAAAGGACAAGCAAAUUAGGUUAGAUGAAAUGGAAACCUAGAGGUGGCAUCAUGUGAUUGGGCAACAUGGAAAAAUGUAGGAUAUUGAUUGGGCAAGGAUUUAGGGUUAAGAUUUGGGGCUUGGAAAACCACUCAUCCUUUAGUAUAUAAAGAUUUGGCCCUACUGAUCUAAUAGGCAGGCCAUACAUGUUUUUUUGGAUCGAGACAAUGGAUUAUGACUAUAUAGUCCAGAUUCAUUAGUUUUCCAAAUGAUCUAAAAAGUAAAACUUCUCUUAUAACAAAAAUAGGGGUUACCGUUUUCUUCUUUUUUCUCUACACCGCAAGUGCAUCUUUAAUUCACAUUUUCUUCUUCACAAAUUUUUUCUUUGCUCCCUUGAAUCUCUUGGUCAGGUGUGCAAAAACAAUUUUUUAAGGGAUUUAAAAUGCAAAAAACAUAGGAUGCUAUGUUCACUUGAACAUGAAUAUAAUCCACCUCUAGAUGGUGAAUCCGAAACGGUGGUGGAGGCCGAUGAUUGUAACAUCCCGAAUUUUUAAUCCGAGACAUUAAGACCAAUUCUUUCAUUUAAUUGAAAAACACUACACUGUUUUCCUUUUUAGUUUUAUAAUUCAUUCAUUUGAAAACAAGUCAUCAUAAGUAUUUUCUCAAAAUUGUAAGAUAUAUAGUUAUCUAUUUAUUGUAAAAAUUUUAAAAAAGACUUAUUAGGUCCAGAAUACUACAAGUCAUCAACUUCAAAAUAUGUUAAAUUUACAAUAAACUAGCUAUACAAUUGUUAAGAAGCCUUAUUUAAAAUUUACAAUUAUACUCUAAUAAAAACCCUUUGAUUUAUCCCCAUGCACGUACAAGCGACACACCAACUCCAACUUCAUUUUUCUUUGGUACCUACAACCGUAUUUAAUGUAAGGGUCAAUUUUCUUAUCCAAAUUGAAUCAUGCCGAACGGAAGGUAAAUGUCAUAAAAUAACAAUAAAAUACUCGGCCAUAAAGAAGAAAUAAAAUAAAAUCGAUACCAGAAACUAUUCUUAAUAACACUAUACCAGUUAAUAAUGCAUGAAAUGCAUCUAAACCAUGAUCCAGAUAUCACCUCUCCGCAGAGCAAAAUAAAGUGUCCCACCAUUGGACAGUGUCCCACCGUUGGACACAAUACCCCACCGUUGGGUAUUAAGGUUCGGUACCCCACCGUUGGGUAUUGUUCCGAAUCACACAAACCUAUAACAACAACUAUAUGCUAUGCUAUGCAUACUAUAGACACCUUUUAAAACCAGCACCAUUUGAUUAAAAUCAAUUGAAAGUGUAGAACUUUCUUUUAAACCCGAUAAAUUCACCAUUUAUCGAAACUGACAAAAUACUCAAAUUGACAAUCAACCACACACAAAAUCAUAAAAAUAAAUAUACAAUCAGCCACACACAUAAGUACUCCAUAUAUUAACAUAGCAUAAAAUGUUAUCAAAAUAAGUCUUCGCCAUUCCUUCUAUUUCCAUCUCUAUUGGUUAAAUACUUCAUUCUCAAUCUAUAACAUAAACCUUAAGUGCACGAGUGUAUGGGGAAAAAGCCCUUACCUUAGGCGCUUUCCUUCCAAGCAUACGUCUCUAAGCUAAUUUGACGCUUACGCACCCUAUAUCAGGUUUGCACGCAUAAACUUUUUGUUCCUUCGCCUCCUCGUGUUCUCUGAUUGUUCCAACUCGAAAAUUUGUGGUUGGGAGUAAAAAUAAAAUAUAAGAAUAUGCUCUAAAAUGGUCAAUUUUGAAAUUGGGCCGAAGAACCUUACCCCAAAUCAGAAAAUAAUCUGGUGGAGAAUAUUACUGACGUUUAUGCGGUUGAUUCGUCGUUGAUUUCACUCAAAUCGGAGUUACAAUGACAAAGAUCGGAACAAAAGGGUGAAUCUCGUCGAUGAAGAAAAUUGGAGUUUCGACAAAGACAAUGGAAUAUCUAUAUAUUCGAAAGAGUGAAUUAAAUAAACUGACUCAUAGGUAGAAACAUCAUACCAAAAUUUAAACGAAAAAGGAGCAGGCUAAUUGCACAGCUAAUUGAAACCGAAACCAAUUUCCUCACCUCUUCUCCGUCGCUGCUGCCAUACUCUCUCACUCUGUGUGUUACUGUUCCAAAACUAAUUCCAAUAUCUAGGUUCAUAACCCAUCACUUGUUCUCCAACGUGGCUCAUCACCCACUAAGCACUAACUCCUUCAAUUUAGGUUCACUUAACAGAAAUGCAUACUCUUAG
rnacentral:lncRNA from 1 species